UGUUUGGCAAGACCGAUGUGGUGCAAAUCC
rnacentral:piRNA from 1 species